rnacentral:lncRNA from 1 species
AACUGACAGCUUUGAACCCCUUAGACACUUGUGCACUAGGGAAAGACCCAGAUAUCAGGCAGAGGCACAGAUGCCAUCCUUAUUCAUAACCCUCUUCCUUGAAGGCUGGUGAGUUAGUGGAAUAUGAGUUCUGGUUUGGGAAUCAGAUCGUACCUGUAACCAAAGGGCUUGGGAGCAAUCUGCUCAUGAAAGCAUCCUUUAUUAUAACAGGAUGCAUCUGUAAAAGGAACAUCAGCCUGGAGACCAUCAGGCAAGGGGGGUUGAUCACUAAGUGUCUGAUUCAAGGAAAAAAUAAGAUUAAUAAUGUAUUUCCAUUUAGGUUUUCUAGAGCAAAGGUUGAAAAUAUAAUCAUAUACCUACUUCUGUUUUCUGAAACAGAAAAUGCAGGGAUUCAUCUUCAGAAUCAGCCGUUUGUUACGUGGGUCUCCCUGCAUCAAGGACACUGAGGAGGAGCACACGCCAUGUCUUAGAUGUUGUGUGGGGGCAGCGAAUGGGGGCUUUAGGAACUUCCUGGUCAAGCUGUUGGGUGCUGGAUUAGACAUGAGCUGCUUCCCUCCUUCCAGCUCUGAGUCCUUUCGAAGCAGCAGGUGGGAAUGUUGCAGGUGUAUGUUUUGUAGAACCCCAAAAUUGUAGCCUUAACAAUAAGCAUCCCCACUUCAUAACCUGUUCUUUCUUAGUAAUAACUUUAUUGAAAUACAAUUCAUAGACCAAAAGUUCACCUUUUUCUUUUUUUUUUUUUUUGCCUUCCGAUCUUUUUUUUUUAUUAUUUUUUUAACUUUUAUUUAAUGAAUAUAAAUUUCCAAAGUACGGCUCUCCUGAAGGCCAGGCCCAACAACGCCGGCCCUACCGCAGGCGAAGGUUCCCACCUUACUACAUGCGGAGACCCUAUGGGCGUCGACCACAGUAUUCCAACCCUCCUGUGCAGGGAGAAGUGAUGGAAGGUGUCCUCCUCGCCAAAGACAGCCUAGAGAGGACGGCAAUGAAGAAGAUAAGGAAAACCAGGGAGAUGAGACCCAGGGCCAGCAGUCACCUCAGCGUCGGUACCGCUGCAACUUCAACUACCGACGCAGACGCCCAGAUAACCCUAAACCACAAGAUGGCAGAGAGACAAAAGCAGCCGAUCCACCAGCUGAGAAUUCGUCCCUCCGGAGGCUGAGUAGGGCGGGGCUGAGUAAAUGCCAGCUUAACAUCUCUACCAUCAUCCGGUUUAGUCAUCCAACAAGAAGAAAUGAAUAUGAAAUUCCAGCAAUAAGAAAUGAACAAAAGAUUGGAGCUGAAGACCUUAAGUGCUUGCUUUUUGCCUGUUGACCAGAUUACUAGAACUAUCUGCAUUAUCUAUGCAGCAUGGGGUUUUUAUUAUUUUUACCUAAAGAUGUCUCUUUUUGGUAACGACAAACAUGUUUUUUAAAAAAGCCUGAUUUUUCUCAAUACACCUUUAAAGGUUUUUAAGUUGUUUCAUAUCUGGUCAAGUUGAGACUUUUAAGAACUUCAUUUUUAAUUUGUAAUAAAAGUUUACAACUUGAUUUUUUCA